GACGAACGCUGGCGGCGUGCUUAACACAUGCAAGUCGAACGAAGAGCGAUGGAAGCUUGCUUCUAUCAAUCUUAGUGGCGCACGGGUGAGUAACGCGUAAUCAACCUGCCCUUCAGAGGGGGACAACAGUUGGAAACGACUGCUAAUACCGCAUACGAUCUAAUCUCGGCAUCGAGGAUAGAUGAAAGGUGGCCUCUACAUGUAAGCUAUCACUGAAGGAGGGGAUUGCGUCUGAUUAGCUAGUUGGAGGGGUAACGGCCCACCAAGGCGAUGAUCAGUAGCCGGUCUGAGAGGAUGAACGGCCACAUUGGGACUGAGACACGGCCCAGACUCCUACGGGAGGCAGCAGUGGGGAAUCUUCCGCAAUGGACGAAAGUCUGACGGAGCAACGCCGCGUGAGUGACGACGGCCUUCGGGUUGUAAAGCUCUGUUAAUCGGGACGAAAGGCCUUCUUGCGAAUAGUGAGAAGGAUUGACGGUACCGGAAUAGAAAGCCACGGCUAACUACGUG
rnacentral:rRNA from 1 species